rnacentral:rRNA from 1 species
UACGUAGGGUGCAAGCGUUGUCCGGAAUUAUUGGGCGUAAAAGAGCUCGUAGGCGGUCUGUCGCGUCGGCUGUGAAAACCCGGAGCUCAACUCCGGGCCUGCAGUCGAUACGGGCAAACUGGAGUGUUGCAGGGGAGACUGGAAUUCCUGGUGUAGCGGUGAAAUGCGCAGAUAUCAGGAGGAACACCGGUGGCGAAGGCGGGUCUCUGGGCAACACUGACGUGAGGCGCGAAAGCCAGGGGAGCAAACGGG